GACGAACGCUGGCGGCGUGCUUAACACAUGCAAGUCGAACGGACCGGCCUCUUUCGGGGGGUACUCGAGUGGCGAACGGUUGAGUAACACGUUAGUAACCUGCCUUUGACAUUGGGAUAACUUCUGAUAACUGGUGUUAAUACCGGAGAGGAGCUCCUGCUGCUUGGUGGGGGCUGGAAAGUUUAGGCGGUUGGGGAUGGACUCGUGGCUUAUCAGCUUGUUGGUGGGGUAGUGGCUUACGAAGGCUUUGACGGGUAGCAGGCCUGAGACGGUGACCGGCAACAUUGAGACUGGGACACGGCCCAGACUCAUACGGGAGGGAGCAGUGGGGAAGAGGGAUCAAGCGGUAGGAGCCAGAUGCAGAAGCGCCGAGGGCGGGAUGACGGCCAUCGGGUUGUAAUCCGCUUUCGCUCAUGACGGAGAUGUGUGUGACGGUAGUGGGUAAAGAAGCACCGGCUAACUACGUG
rnacentral:rRNA from 1 species